AAUGCAUCUAAUCUUGCAACUAGAGCUGAAUUGGGGAGACUUCCUAUAGAAUUUAAUAUUAAAACACAAACUUCAUUAUAUUUAAAGAGAUUUGAAUGCUGUAAGUUAAAUCCUCUUUUGAAAGAAGCUUACACGCUUAGUAAAAACUUAGACUCAGAAGGAGUAUACUCCUGGUUUACAUAUGUAAAAAAUAUUUUAAGUGAACUUAAUUUAGAUAUAGCACAAAUUCAACAAAAUACUAGUUCAGACAAA
rnacentral:lncRNA from 1 species